AUGACAGACAGGCCGAGGUUUAUUCAUGGACACAGUGCUAACUACUAUAGACGCACAGAGGUGCGAGCAAGCCAGGAUGCACGCAGGCAGGCUGCAGCUAGGCGGACGUACGAAGUAGAGGCAAUAGGUUGGUUACUGCCGGCAGUGGGUGGUGCAGAAGCAGCGAUGGCGGAAGCCGCGGCACUUGCCGCCGGGGAAGCCCUCGGUCUUGCAGACGUUGGCGCAGUUGUGGUGGCGCACGCAGGGGCCCCUGAACCUGUGGCUCUUCGCCUCGCACGUCCGCGCCUCCGCCACCGCCACCGGGCCUCCCAUCUCCCCUGUGCCCGCCAGCAGCAGCACCAGGAGGAGCGCCGCCGAGAGGAGCUUGCGUGA
rnacentral:rRNA from 1 species